AACCAUAGAAACCUGCGGAGUACCUGCGGAAGGAUCAUUACCAGAGUGCCAUAGGCUCUCCAACCCAUUGUGAACAUACCUAUCGUUCCCUCGGCGGGCUCAGCGCGCGGGGCCUCCGGGCUUCCGGGCGUCCGCCGGGGACAACCAAACCCUGAUUUACUACGUGUAUCUCUGAGGGGCGAAAGCCCGAAAACAAAAUAAAUCAAAACUUUCAACAACGGAUCUCAGAUCGGAAGAGCA
rnacentral:misc_RNA from 1 species